rnacentral:rRNA from 1 species
CCUACGGGGCGCAGCAGUGGGGAAUAUUGGGCAAUGGAGGCAACUCUGACCCAGCAACGCCGCGUGAAUGAUGAAGGUCUUCGGAUUGUAAAGUUCUUUUCUAAGGGAAGAAGAAAGUGACGGUACCUUAGGAAUAAGCCUCGGCUAACUACGUGCCAGCAGCCGCGGUAAUCCGUAGGAGGCAAGCGUUAUCCGGAAUGACUGGGCGUAAAGGGUGCGUAGGUGGUUUGACAAGUUAGUAGCGCAACUCCGGAGCUCAACUUCGGAACUACUACUAAAACUGUUGGACUUGAGUGCAGGAGGGGCAAUCGGAAUUCCUAGUGUAGCGGUGGAAUGCGUAGAUAUUAGGGGGAACACCAGUGGCGAAGGCGGAUUGCUGGACUGUAACUGACACUGAGGCACGAAAGCGUGGGGAGCAAACAGGAUUAGAUACCCGUGUAGUC